ACUGCCCGGUCCACGUUCUCCUGCUUCCGGCUGCUGACCACCACGUGGGCCCCAUCCUGAGCCAGACGCCGGGCGAUGGCCAAGCCGAUCCUAUGGGCAUAGAGAGAGAGAGGAAUGUCAAGUCCAGAACAGGAAGAGAGGGGAGAAAGUCACCGGACUGUAACCUCACAAAAUAGCCUGAAUUACCAAGAAGACCACGCCUUGGGUGCUUAUAAGAUAAAGAGAUCAAAAGAGCGACAACCACUAGCAUCUACAGAACUGGUUACCUGGAGACACCAUGACACCACUCGAG